GAUGAACGCUGGCGGCGUGCCUAAUACAUGCAAGUCGAGCGAACAGAUGAGGAGCUUGCUCCUCUGACGUUAGCGGCGGACGGGUGAGUAACACGUGGAUAACCUACCUAUAAGACUGGGAUAACUUCGGGAAACCGGAGCUAAUACCGGAUAAUAUAUUGAACCGCAUGGUUCAAUAGUGAAAGACGGUUUUGCUGUCACUUAUAGAUGGAUCCGCGCCGCCUUAGCUAGUUGGUAAGGUAACGGCUUACCAAGGCAACGAUGCGUAGCCGACCUGAGAGGGUGAUCGGCCACACGGGAACUGAGACACGGUCCAGACUCCUACGGGAGGCAGCAGUAGGGAAUCUUCCGCAAGGGGCGAAAGCCUGACGGAGCAACGCCGCGUGAGUGAUGAAGGUCUUCGGAUCGUAAAACUCUGUUAUUAGGGAAGAACAAAUGUGUAAGUAACUAUGCACGUCUUGACGGUACCUAAUCAGAAAGCCACGGCUAACUACGUG
rnacentral:rRNA from 1 species